CCUUAGGGGUGGCCUGAUAUUGGCCUGAGAUGCUCACAAUGCUUCGGUAACGUGACGAUCCCUUUGAACCUGAUCCGGUUGAUACCGGCGUAGGAAAAGGA
rnacentral:ncRNA from 1 species